rfam:Streptomyces afghaniensis 772 genomic scaffold STAFG_scaffold950, whole genome shotgun sequence.
AAGGGCUGUCCCUAGUACGAGAGGACCGGGACGGACGAACCGUCUGGUGUGCCAGUUGUUCUGCCAAGGGCAUGGCUGGUUGGCUACGUUCGGGAGGGAUAACCGCUGAAAGCAUCUAAGCGGGAAGCCUGCUUCGAGAUGAGGACUCCCACCUCCUAGAGAGGGUAAGGCUCCCAGUAGACGACUGGGUUGAUAGGCCGGAUAUGGAAGCACGGUAACGUGUGGAGUUGACCGGUACUAAUAGGCCGAGGGCUUGUCCUC